GGGUUGUGAGGUUAAGCGACUAAGCGUACACGGUGGAUGCCCUGGCAGUCAGAGGCGAUGAAGGACGUGCUAAUCUGCGAUAAGCGUCGGUAAGGUGAUAUGAACCGUUAUAACCGGCGAUUUCCGAAUGGGGAAACCCAGUGUGUUUCGACACACUAUCAUUAACUGAAUCCAUAGGUUAAUGAGGCGAACC
rnacentral:rRNA from 1 species